rnacentral:tRNA from 1 species
GCCCCGGUGGUGGAACUGGUAGACACAUCGGACUUAAAAUCCGCCGCUUACCGUCAAAGGGGCGUGCCGGUUCGAUUCCGGCCCGGGGCACCA